AUCCAGCUGACGAGUUUCAAAAAGGACGAAAUGCGCGUCGAGGAU
rnacentral:hammerhead_ribozyme from 1 species